GACGAACGCUGGCGGCGUGCUUAACACAUGCAAGUCGAACGGAAAGGCCCUGCUUUUGUGGGGUGCUCGAGUGGCGAACGGGUGAGUAACACGUGAGUAACCUGCCCUUGACUUUGGGACAACUUCAGGAAACUGGGGCUAAUACCGGAUAGGAGCUCCUGCUGCAUGGUGGGGGUUGGAAAGUUUCGGCGGUUGGGGAUGGACUUGCGGCUUAUCAGCUUGUUGGUGGGGUAGUGGCUUACCAAGGCUUUGACGGGUAGCCGGCCUGAGAGGGUGACCGGCCACAUUGGGACUGAGAUACGGCUCAGACUCCUACGGGAGGCAGCAGUGGGGAAUAUUGCACAAUGGGCGGAAGCCUGAUGCAGCAACGCCGCGUGCGGGAUGACGGCCUUCGGGUUGUAAACCGCUUUCGCCUGUGACGAAGCGUGAGUGACGGUAAUGGGUAAAGAAGCACCGGCUAACUACGUG
rnacentral:rRNA from 1 species